CCUCCCUGCUUUCACUCUUCCAUUUCCUGCUUCCUCAUCUGAACAAACCUCACGCUCUGCAUACGUUACUUUAUCUGAUUCCAUGUGAACGACGCCUUUCUAGGCAUCAUUGAGCCGACAGCAGCCAGAGAUUCAUUGAAAUAAGUGGGGCAGUUGACAGACAGAAGAAAAAAAUAUUAACCUCGGCCUUUUCAAAGACAAGCCUCGAUUCACGCAUCUUAAACAACUUCUAAAGACCUGAACUCUCGACUCUGAUCACCAAGAUUUCUUCAGAUUUUUUGGGGGGCGGCAGCAGAAACUUAAAAAUGUGGAGCACAUUUAGAUUCAACACUUCGGCUGACAUCAGUAAAAAUCUCAGAGCAAGUCUGGAGAAUUUUGUGAGGCUGUAUGGCCAACGCAAAGAUGAUCUUCAGCAAGCUUCUGAGCAUUUCAUGCAUGCAGCAGCUCUAGUUGAUAAAAAGCAUGAGGAUUUUGAUGACAAGACGGCCCAGGCUCUGUUAGGUAUGUUUGGAGGGACUAUUGGUACAGUUUUUGGGGGUGUUACUGGUGGUGUAUGGGCUGCUUUGGGAGCAGUUAGUGCAGCAACUUAUGCCAAGUUUUGUGGCAACAUUAAUGCAGCUAGUGCAACUGUGGGCUUUGUAGGCGGUGUCUUUGGGGGAGUGGUGGGAGGAGCAUUUUCGGGGCUUAUUGGUGGAUUAGUUGGUGUUGCAGCUCUAGCAGCAGGUAGAGAAGUUCAUGGGAUCGUGAGUGAUUCAAUAUGGUUUACUGUUGGCUUUGCCAUUGGUGGUGCAACUGGUAGCACAUUUGGCGGGUCAGUUGGUGCAGCAGGUGGUGCUGUAGGUGGUGGGUUUGGUGCUUUGCAUGCUACAAAAGCUGCAGUUUAUCUAGUCAGAAAAGCCAUUGAUUUUCCUUCUAAAACAAAAGUUCGAAAAGGAAAUGGAAAGCUAAAGAAAGAAGUAGUCACCAUGCAGAAAACUGGAGCAGAUUUCAUUAAAAGCAUCAAACCGCUGGUGGACGAGCUAAAAACGGUGCAAGAGAUUUGUGACCAAAUGGCCUCCUGUGACGCUGUGAAAGGCGUCGCUAAUCAGACUGCAAAGACUCUGGCUGCAGUGAACGCAAUGGAGAAAACGAUGAACGACAGUCAGAUGGAGGCAGACGAGUCAGAGUUUCUCCGCUGUGUUAAAGAAGCAUCGAGCCAAUGCAAGAUAAUCCCCGUGGAGCUGCAGAUGAUGAGAGAGGAAGUGGAGAAACUUCUGGUUUCACCGUAGAAACACUUUGCUGUCGGUGAAACAGGAGCUCUGAAAUGUUCUGUCUUGAUGGUUUCAUCUGUUUUACCUAGCUGUUUGUUUUUUAUUUGUUUAUUUGUUUCUGUUGUUAACUGCUCAUUUUGUAGUUCUUAUACGCUCUUUAUACAGAAUCAGCUGUGUUAAUAUACGUCGGUUGUCUCAUCUUUAUACAAAAUACUGUUAUACUUCAUUUACAGAGAACAGAUGAGACAUUAUACCUAAAUUCAGAAUCUGCAUGUUACACUGGCAAAAACAAAAAAAAAAUCUCUAACAAAAAUUUUAAAGUGGAAUGACAAAAUGACAAAGUUAAAAGAAAUUAAAAAUAAUUAGAAAAAUAAAUGAUCUGGAUCUAAAGCAGUUAUACAGUAAAGUGAAUAUUUAACAUCUAAAUAAAUUAAAUAAAGUCCUAACAGCUAUUCCCAAAGUGUGGGGCCUGCAGUACUGUCAUUGUUCUGAACGAAAACAAAAAAGCAAAAGAAAAAAUACCCCUUUGUAGUUAAAUGUGAAGUUUCUGUUAAAAACUUUAAAUGCUAAAUACAAUUAAAAAAAAAAAAAAAAAAGAUUUAUAUAUGAUAAAAUAGAUGAAGUAAAAAGGGUUUAGUAAAAAAAGCUGUUCUAAAGCCUCUAAGCUCGGAGUCUCAAACCCGCGGUCCAGGGGCCCCUUGCGGCCCACAUCACCCCUACUUGCAGCCCACAGAUUGAUGUGGAGAAAAAAACAAACAAAACACAACAUUUUCAGAAAUAUUUAUGGCUGUUUUCUUGUUUGUUUGUUUUGUACUACUUGAACACUAAAGUAGCCCUCGAUGAGAUGACAGUGCCAGUAGUGCCCUGCAGCAAAAUCUUAAUCUCCUGACAGUCGUGUUGAAAGAGAAGUUUUUUGUUUUUACAUUAUAGCAGCAGUCAAACAGGAUCUAUAAUACAUGGAACUCAUGUGUACCCAGUCAAAGAAAACAAAGAAGCUCUGUUUGUUUUUAAAACAUGCAAAGAUUUGUUAAGUUUAAGUGUAUGAGGCUGUGUUUCAACUGGAUUAAAAAUGUCA
ensembl:lncRNA